GUCCUACGGGACGCAGCAGUGAGGAAUAUUGGUCAAUGGUCGGGAGACUGAACCAGCCAAGCCGCGUGAGGGAGGAAGGUACAGAGUAUCGUAAACCUCUUUUGUCAGGGAACAAAGACUGGGACGCGUCCCCGGAUGAGUGUACCUGAAGAAAAAGCAUCGGCUAACUCCGUGCCAGCAGCCGCGGUAAUACGUAGGUGGCAAGCGUUGUCCGGAUUUACUGGGUGUAAAGGGCGAGUAGACGGCGUUGCAAGUCAGAUGUGAAAGGCUAGGGCUCAACCUUAGGAGAGC
rnacentral:rRNA from 1 species